AUGAGUCGGUACACCGGAGUUUCAGAUACAAACAACCUGAACUCGCAUCGCAGGCGGAAAAUGCGAAAAGUUUAGCUCGGAGUCGAUCCAGAAGAAAAAUGUUGCUGGAAGCGAGACGAAGUGUGUUGGCUGAGGAUGAGAUGGACAUUUGGAAGUGCGCUACCAUAGAUCUCAUAUCUGAUGAGGAAUACGGCAUUGUUGGCGGGGUGUCUGGAUGGAUUGUGCGGCCACCGCCCUCUCGCAGCCUGGAACUCUCCGAGCUCUGUGCCACGCUGCAAUCCAGAUUAGAGGCGAUACCAAAGUACCGGGCAACUCACCAUAUACGCGUGAAAAAGUGACUUUUUUACAACGUUUUUGAGGUUUUUUUUCAACACUUUGAAAAAGAUUUUUAGGGAUCUUUCCCGAACAUCUUAGGCACUUUUUGACGUGUUUGGAGUACAAUAUAAGAGACAUUAUGCUGCUUUGUACAUAGUUGUGUGUUUAUAAAUAAAGCUCUUUCUUUGAAUAAA